rnacentral:rRNA from 1 species
GACGAACGCUGGCGGCGUGCCUAAUACAUGCAAGUCGAACGCAGUGGGGACGGGUGAGUAACCCGUGGGUAACCUCCCAUCACAGGGGAUAACACAGGGAAUCAGGUGCUAAACCGAUACUGAUGGAUGGACCCGCGGUGCAUUAGCUAGUUGGUGAGGUAACGGCUCCCCAAGGCCACGAUGCAUAGCGGACCUGAGAGGGUGAUCGGCCACACUGGGACUGAGACACGGCCCAGACUCCUACGGGAGGCAGCAGUGGGGAAUAUUCGGCAAUGGACGAAAGUCUGACCGAGCAACGCCGCGUGAGUGAAGAAGGUUUUCGGAUCGUAAAGCUCUGUUGUUAGAGAAGCGUUAUCGAACCAGAAAGCCACGGCUAACUACGUGCCAGCAGCCGCGGUAAUUC